rnacentral:rRNA from 1 species
AGCGAACGCUGGCGGCAGGCCUAACACAUGCAAGUCGAACGAACCUUUCGGGGUUAGUGGCGGACGGGUGAGUAACACGUGGGAACGUGCCUUUAGGUUCGGAAUAACUCAGGGAAACUUGUGCUAAUACCGAAUGUGCCCUUCUGGGGAAAGAUUAAUCGCCUUUAGAGCGGCCCGCGUCUGAUUAGCUAGUUGGUUGAGGUAAUGGCUCACCAAGGCGACGAUCAGUAGCUGGUCUGAGAGGAUGAGCAGACACAUUGGGACUGAGACACGGCCCAAACUCCUACGGGAGGCAGCAGUGGGGAAUCUUGCGCAAUGGGCGAAAGGCUGACGCAGCCAUGCCGCGUGAAUGAUGAAGGUCUUAGGAUAGUAAAAUUCUUUAACCGGGGACGAUAAUGACGGUACCCGGAGAAGAAGCCCCGGCUAACUUCGUG